rnacentral:lncRNA from 1 species
AUAUGCAACAUCUCACUAAUCCGUUCUCAGAAAGAAAGAACAUUGGCAUGCCAAGUUUUGCUACGUAGGUCGUUGGCCAACAAUGAGACUCAGACACUACCUAGAAAAAGAACAUCAAGCGAUCCCUUAUCGACUAUUGUUUUGGUCACCAGACGAAAAAUGCUUUAUAUUGGAGCUCCCACAAGGCGAUUGUGAGCAACACACCUGGCAUUCAAUGACUGGGAAAACGUACGAAUGUGACAAAGUGUUCUGGGCUUUAUGUGGGGCUUUCACUUACCCUGUUUUUAAACAGAGCUGCAUCAGUCCAAAGUCUAUCUGCGUUGGUAUCACGACUCUAUGCUGAUUGCACAAGACGCGAUAAAAUAAAUUUGCUUGUUUUGCACUGCA